rnacentral:rRNA from 1 species
AAUAUUGGACAAUGGGGGCAACCCUGAUACAGCCAUGCCGCGAGUGUGAAGAAGGUCUUCGGAAUGUCAAGCACUUUAAGUUGGGAGGAAGGGCUUUAGGUUAAUACCCUGAAGUUUUGACGUUACCAACAGAAUACGCACCGGCUAACCCGGUGCCAGCAGCCGCGGUAAUACAGAGGGUGCAAGCGUUAAACGGAAUUACUUGGCGUAAAGCGCGCGUAGGUGGUUCAGUAAGAUGGGUGUGAAAUCCCCGGGCUUAACCUGGGAACUGCUUUCAUAACUGCUGAGCUAGAGUACGGUAGAGGGUAGUGGAAUUUCCUGUGUAGCGGUGAAAUGCGUAGAUAUAGGAAGGAACACCAGUGGCGAAGGCGACUACCUGGACUGAUACUGACACUGAGGUGCGAAAGCGUGGGGAGCAAAC